AAUAGGAGCGAGUAUAAUUAUGAGAACUUCCAGUUGCAGCUAUCUCAAAGUUCAUGUGAACCCUACCAUCUACUGCCAGAAGUUGUUUGACCUGACACAAGUUAAAAGUGGGAUAUUAUCUUGAACUCAGUGAAAGAAGCCAACAAGUUUGUUAUUACUAUGUUAAGGUGGCAUGCUUACAUCCUAAGAGGUAAACAAGGAAUUCUGCUUGAUGAUUAGUAGGGAACAUCUACAGUUAGAUGCGUUAAUGACAUUGGACUAGUGAAAUUAUGCUCAUCUUAUCAAACCCCUUUAUAAGAUUAGGGAGUCUACAUCCACACAAUGAUUUAGAAUUUUUCUUUAUCUAGUACGUUUUAUCCUUGCCCAACUGAAUAUAUACAUACAUAAUGGAUAUGAAAAUACCUCAUUGUCAACAGCUGAAACAAGCAGAUAUUUGUCAUCAGGAGAAAAGCAAACCAUCACAUUCCCUCUUGAACUUGAGGCUGUAUAACAAGGCCUCUCUGGUUUUUGUCUCAAAUCCCAAAGCUUGACAUCAUGGUCAAAUGACGAAGUAGCAAAUAGGAAGGGAGAACAGUGUGCAAAUUUAGCAACAUUAAUGGGUUCUCGAUGCAUAUUAGUAAACAACUGUAUGCGUCUUCUACUACUAAUGUCAUAUAGGGCAACAUCCUUUGAGUACCCACUGGCAAGAAACUGAUCGUCUGUGGAAUUGACAUGAACAGAAGUCAAUGGCUCAAAAUCAUCAAAACUGACCACUCCUGUCAUGCAAUUUAUAUCUGCAACUUUUGGUGGCAUAUGAUUGAUGUCAAACAGCUUCAAGGAACCAUUAUCAGAACCAGCUAGCAACUGUUCAAUGCAUACAAAAAGCCUUCAGCAAAAAUUGAACUUCUAAGAAUCAAAAUGAAGCAAUAAAUUAGAUGUCCUUCCCAUUAUAUAGCAUUUAUGAAUUACUUCCAAAGACAAGUUCUAGCAACAAAUUAUCUAUCCUAUUGAUACAAUUCUAGUAUCUUUUAGGUGUAAGCAUGCAACUGGCUGAUUUCCCUCAUCCAAAGAACAAAUGUAAAAUAUUUCAAGGUUUAAAUUGCUGCGGAAAGUAUACAAGAUACUGCUGUUGGAAAUAUCACCUUGGAAUUCAGGUGUGAUCUUGACCUACAAAGUCAUCGAGUAAAAUAAACCAAAUCCAAAGACAACCGCAAUUUAUUGUUGAACCAUAUUGAACUUACGAUACCAAACACAAGUGCCUUAGAAACAGAUAAAAGAAAAGGGUCGAAAGUGCAAGACAAAAGUAUUACAAGCCUAAAAUGCUUUAUGGAAAUGGCAUACCUUUGAUGGAUACAUUUUGAGCCAACAAAGACCCAGAAUACUGUUCAUUGCUCCACUGGAAGGAACAUAACCAACAGUCUUCCCAUUUUCAUGAUUAGUGACAACUACUUCACCAUCUAGAGUUCCAAAAACCAUAAGACUAGGAUCAGAUGGAUGAUAUUCGAAUUGUCUAGGGCGAAGACGCUUACUUCCUUCUUUAUGCAGAUGGCUCAAGCUAGACAAAGGGUGCAAGAGGGGCCAUGCAACAGAACCCAGCUUGGCAGCACUAAGAGAUCGUGGAAAGAAAAUUUGACUCUUUCCAUGAGGAUAUUGCUUCUUUGUCUUCUGGAAAUUUGGGCAGGCACCACUUGCUCUCAUUUCACGUUUCUGCAGGAUACUGACAAUGCUUUCUUUGUAUUGUCGGUUAUAGGCUAAGUACUCAUAGAAUUUUGAAGAGAUGAUCUUCGCCAUUUUCUUGUCCAGCUUUCCAACGGGCAAAUUAUCUAAAACCUCCAAAUGAGGCAAUGAAGCAAUUAUAUACUCCCUAUAAUGUUUCUCAAAGCAGAUAGGCGAUGGGUGGUGUGAACUGUAAAUGUUGUUUAACUUAGUACAGUUUUUCUUCAAAUCCCACAUGCAUCCACUUGCAAACAACUCAUUUUUGUCUUCAAUCUAUCAUUCGCCAAAAGAAACCUGUUAGACAAACUAAAAAAAUCCAUCACCAAACAUCUAUAUUUCAAACUUUCCCCCUUCUAAGCAUUUAAUAUGCUUACCUCAUUUUGCAACUUGACUUUUCCAUUCAAAUUAGGAAGCAUGCUGGAUGAUAGUUCCAGCAAAUCUAUUCUUUGCAGGCAGCUUGAAAUUUUAUCUUCAGUAGUGACUGAAAAGUUAUCAGUUCCUCCAUUAACCUCAUUACAUGUAAAUGCAUUUUUGGGAGAAAGCAAGUCACAACAUGACAUUGCAUGAGGAGUGUAAAUAGUUGUGUCAGCAGCAUUGACAGGCAGCAGUUCAAUGGAUGAACCUCUAUCCAACUGAUGCAGGACAUUUGCUUUGUUACCAAAUGAUGCAGGACAUGGCCCAGUGUCCUUGCAACACAAGCAAUUUUGGAAUCGUAGUUCUAGCAAAGAAGGAAGUUUCAAUAAGGCAGCAGUGGUUGUCCAGAGAUCAAUCACUCUUGUCUCACACAUUGAGAGACGCAUCAGAUUGGGCAUGGAAGAAAAACAGUCCCUAUGCAAACUAGCGAUUGAAGUGCAAAAAUCCAGAUUUAAGGUGUGCAAUCGCAUAAAACUUCCAACCAUGUUGAGCUUUUGGAUGUGAGUGGACCUCAAGCUUAAAAUUUCACAAGAUAAGCCAUGGUGACUUAGAUCCCUGGAAAGGUCCCACAAACAACGAUGUUAAAAUAUGAUUUAGAUAGAGAAUACUCCACCUUUCUUUUCAUCCUUUUCAAGCAUAGUUAAUUGGUCACUAGACUCACUGCAUGAUAUAAUGUUUCCUUAGCAAAAGAGGAUGCUAUAUGCUUUUCAUAGAAAGACAAAAUUAACUGUCAUGAACCCAGAAAGACACAGGACACAAAUGUUGGGGCUCUGUAAACUGCUGAAGCAGGGUCUUGGGAUCCUAGAUAAGGCCCUCACUUGAGCAUUCAAAUCUUCAUAAUUGUUAACCAAUACAGAAAGUGCCCACUAGCCGUCCUAAUGGUCUUUCCAUCCAGAUUCUAAAAAUAUGACGGCAGUGGUCCUUUUCAAGUUAUUUUAAGUGAUAAUCUCAUCUCUUAAAACUCAUAAAGUGAUUAGAACUUCUAGCAUCACCAUCAUUUUUCUCUCUCUUCAUAUUCUUUUUUCUUUUUUCUCUUUCUUAAGGAAUUCAAGGUUGGGAAAUUGGAAACGGCAGAAAUCUAUCAGGUAAAGGAAAAUAAAAUAUAGAAGAUAAUGCAUUAUGACUAUGGUAAAUGACAAAGACAAUAAGGACAAGCAAUAAAACAGAAUGGUGAUACCAACCAUAAAAAGUCCUCUUCCAAUGACAUUUCCUGAAGAUCAACAACCCGGAGUUUUAGAUGAAUUGCUCGCAACAAGGAAAGAACAUAUUCUUCCUUCAAAUUGCAAUGCGAUUCAUUGACUAUGUCAACUGCAUCAAUGUCAGAAGAGUCUACUGCUAGGAACAUAUCAAUCAGAGGAGGAAUAUCAUCAUUCUUGAGCUGAUUUAGCAAAACCUCAAAGGUACACUUCUUCUGGAAGAACUUCUGUAUUGUGGCCUAAAUAAAAGAAGAAAAGUUAUGCUUGCCACAAAAUAGUUUCUUCAAUGCAAAAACUGUACAAGUUUGUUACUGGAUCAAUCUACCAGCCAGUGAAGCAAAGAUGAUUAAUAAUCAUAGAGAAGAAAGCUAAGUUUCAUUAUGCUAUCAAGUUAGGACCAUAAGUAUUAUUUCAGAGAAAGAAAUGCACCUCCCAAGGCCAAAAAAACAAAAAAAGAAGAAGAAAAAAAAAAAAGACAGCUUGCUGCUUUAGGAGGUGGGAUAAAACUAACUUCAGAAAAAUCCAGUCCAAGCAGCACACAGUGCAACAUAUGGCUCUUUUCUGAAAGAUGGUUUAAGAAUCCCCUCAAUGCAAGCAAAAUGAUUCUAUACUAACAACCAACUUUUAUCCAAAAAAUAUGAUAUUAAUUGAUAAAAACAACAACAAGUGGACAGCCUUAGUCAGUAACAUCAGAUUCCACAAUCUAAAGCAGUCUGAAGGGAUAAAGGCAGAUGAAGGGGGGAGGUGCGUGUGCAAUAUCCUAACAAAGGAAACACUGUUCCCUAUUAAACAUGAGGGGCGGCGCAAACAUUCAUGAAGAAAGUUUAGUUUAAUAGACCUUAGAGAAGCAUGACAGUACGGCAGAAUUGGGUGGCACCUCAUGCCUCCUGCAAGAAUCAAGAUACCUAGCACAAAAAGAGAACGCAAUCUGAGAAUCAAUAAGAAUCUAAAAGUACAAGGAUUCAGAGAGCAAAAGCCACUAUCAACACCAGCAUCAAGAAAUCAAGCUUUUGAAAAUACUUGCAACUAUCAACCAAUGGAACGAGUCCAAACAUGAAAUGUUCUACAAAACAAAAGUAUUUGAAGCCAGAAUACUAAUAAUUCCACAAAUUUACUUUGCCAAAUAUCAAUAAAGGCAACAACAAGACUCAUAUUCUCAUAGAAACUAUAAAAUUUUCUAAAAAAAACUUAAUUGGCCAGUAAAAAGUUCCCAGAAAAUUUUAAUUAUGAUUCUUUUUUCUUUUUUUGGGUAUGUGAAAUUGUACAUUAGUUCAAUCAUUACUAAUCAAUCAAUCCAACUAGCUGACAGUAAUAUUUAGUUUAGUUAAUGUCGCUUUGAAUUUUGAAGAUUCUUCCCGCUACUGAUCAGAGAAAAGGAAUAGAUCAAAGGGAAGGUUAGCUUUGUGAACUAAUUUAUGCAAAGAUACUAGCUUUGAAUCUGAAAUAGAAAAAAAAAUCAUGUUUUGCUUUGUGGGUGUCCACAGAGGAUCUCUCUCUUUUGCUAAUUUCAGUCAUUUAUGUAAAAAAGCUGUAACAAUUGCCAACACUUUCUCUAAGCACUUGCCACCUGCUACUAAUUUUCCUUUGCCUCUUUUGGCUAAUUCCAUUCGUAACUCCCAUCAUUGGUUAACCUCCCAAAAUACCACGUCUAAAUUUCUCUUGAAAGCUGUACCAAACCCACCAAUCCUUUAACUCUUAAAUCCAUGAUUCAGUAGGAAAAAAAAAACAAAACACAGACAAGAAACCAGAAAACCCAGAAGAGAAAAAAAUUAAAGAAAGAAAAAGAUUUAAUUAGAGAUCAAUAUCAUACCGAGCUUCUAAGGUGGAGAUAUCCAUGCAAAUGAUUGGUGACUGUAGCUUUGCUUCUUCUAGUUCUUCACAUUAAUGGCGAAAAAAAUGAAGUCAAUGGAUCUAAGACACGGGAAAUAUUGCUAACAGUGUCAAAAACACAUGUCGAAUGGAUAAGCACACCUGUUCUUAAUUCUAAAUUCUAACAUUACUCAGUGCAGGAAGAGAAAGUGAAAUUUCAACCAAAUAAUAUUCGACAAGAUUACCUUUAGAAGUUAGGACCAUCAUCAAAUGGCCAUUAUGUAUUUGAGUCACGCAAUUAUAAUACAAAUAGUUUUUACAAGUUUAAUUUAUAAUUAUAUUUGUCGUUAUUUAUUUAUUGAAUGAUAAUCUAUUAUUCAAUUUGCUAAAAAAAUGUAUCGUUAGUCAUUGCUAAUUAAUGAUUAACUAUUAUUGGAUUUUGAAAAGCUAUUCUAAUGCUUAAAUUAUUAAAUUCUCCAAUCAAUUCGCAGUUUAAAAAGAUAUUUAAUAUUUUUUAUUUUUAUUAAUGAAAUAUAUCUAUAUACAUUGAAUUAUGUGCGAUGUAAUUAAUCUCUUACAUCCUAUAAAUAUAAUAAAUAUAGAAAGUGUAAGAUAUUUGGUUAGAUUUCUUUUAUUUGGUAAUCUCCUAAAAAAAAAAUCUAUAUAUAUAUAUAUAUAUAUUUUUUUUUUUUAUGGAGGUAAAAUUUAAAAAAAAAUGUGUAAAAUAACUCAACUACCUUUUGUUAUCAUAUGGAAAAAAAUAAUUAAAAUUAAUUUUUUUUAAACUUUGGUAAGGGAACGGAACUGUAAACAUUCUUAAUUAUAUCAAGUGAACACCACCAAGUUAACACAUAAAUAUUAUAAUCUUCAAUCAUUGUAUAAUUUUGUAUAUUAGAAAAUGAAUUAAGUUAAAUUAUUUUAGUGGAUCCUGUGGCUUUUAUUUUUGUCACGAUUUGUCAAAUCAAUGCCCAACUACUAACUAAGAUGUUGACAACAUUGUUAAUAUAAAAAGAUCAUUAAUCAUGUUAGAAAAUGAAAAUAAGCUUGUUAGAAAUAUGUCAAAUAAAAUACUUAUUUCUCAUUUUUUUUGUAUGAAAAAAUAGAGAAGAAAAUAAAUAAAAUUAAUUUCUGAGUAAUAUUUGAAGUUCACCAUCAAAUAAAAUUAGUUGUUUGAUUUGAAUUUGUUCUAAUGAGUUAAUAUUUCCCAACUAAUUAUCAAAUUUCUUUAUCUAUCCCUAGAAGGUGUAGAAUAUGGAAGGAUAAUUAAUUGAAGGUUUUGAUUGGGCCUAAAAAUGAAUGUUAGUAUCUUAGAGAAAAAAAGAAAAAGAAAAAAAAAAGCUCAGUGGUAGAAUAACGGUGGUUGACAACCACAUUUUGCACUGAUCAUCAUCGUCAUCAUCAUCAUUAUGUAAUAAAUGAGAAUAGUGGAUGUUGACAUGACAUUGUGUUUGAGAGUGAAACUCUCUAAAAUUUAAAUAUUUUGUUUUAACUUAGUUAAGAAAAUUUGAAGAUUUUAAAGAGAAAACGUGUCUCCCUUAACUCUUUCUCUCUCUACUUUAUAACUUUUAUGAAUUUUUAAAUAAUACUAACUCAUUUAAAAUUAAUCUCUAAUUUAUAUCUUUUAAAUAUAAUGGCUCUUGAAUAAUAACUCUUUUAAAAUUACUCUCUAAUUUAUUACUUUUAAAUAUAAUGGCUCUUGAAGUUCUCUUAUAAUUUUAAAUUUUCAAUUAGUUCAAUAUUAUUAGGUUAAGAAUGUUAGGAAUAAAAUUAUACAAAAUAAGUUUGAGAUAAAAUUUUAAUAUUGAGUUUGUUGUAUAUUAAUAUUAAUAUUGUUGGUGCAAAAAGGUAAUAAUUAUAUGGAUUUUGGAUCCGCAAAGUAAAAAUUAACCAAAAAUAAAUACUUGCAAUUAAUAUAUUUUUUGCAUGUGCUAAAUUAAUUUUGAGAUAAAAUUUUAGCAUUAAAUUUUUUCUAUAUUAAUAUUGCAAAUGAAAAUAGGUAUUAGCUAUAUGGAGUUUGGACGAGUAAAUGCAGAAAUUGUUCAAAAAUAAAUAUUUGCAACUAGUAUUAUUUUUGCAUGUGCUUUUAUCUAAUAAUGAUGAUAUAACCAUUUUGAUUUGAAUAAACUUUUUUACGUUCUUUAUUUUCGUUCACCUGCUAUCUUAAAAAUCAUGUUUCACCUUAAUUAGCGUAAACAAUUUUAAUUCUACACGAUAAUAUUUAAGUUUAAAUCAUGAAAUAUUAUAAAGCUCUGCGAAACAUAGAAAAUUGCAUAGUUAAAAAUUAAAGUAUAAAGUUAUAUUAGGAAGCCUCCUGUGUUUACUAAUAAUUAGAUAUGAGAAAUGAUGAAAAAGGCUAGGAGCUCUCCUAAUCUAUGUCAUAAUAACUCUCAUCUUUAAGAAUUUUGAUGUAUUUUAAAAAAUAAAUAAAUAAUAACAAUUAGACAAGGAUGAUUAGUUGAUCAUGAACACACGAGUAAUAUAUUAAUUGAAUAAUGACAAUUUACAAUAAUUAUUAUAUAAUAGAAAUAAUUGAAAUAUUAAAAAUUGGUUCCGGUAAUUGAUCAAGUCGACUAAUUCAAUCACGGAUAGCCAGUUCAAUUAGAUUCUCUUUCUUAAAUGAUGCAAAAGCCAAAUGGAUCCAAUUUUAAAAUUAGUUCACCAAAUUUUCGAGUUAAUUUUUUUUUUUUUUUUUUAAGAGAAAAUUAUGCUUGCACCUUUUAGUUGCGUUGAAUUUAAAGUUUGGUUAAAUUGCAAUUAUACCAUAAUAUUUAAAGCUUCUUUAAGGAAAAACUGAAGGUUGGGAAGUUAAAAUGUAUAAGGUUGAAUUUCUCUCCACACCUUAAAUAAUAAAGUUGUACUAUAAUAUUAUACUCUCUUUAUCCAAAUUAUAAUAAACUCAAAAUAACUUACAAAAAAAUAUUUAAUUUAAUAUAAAUAAUAAUAUGAUUAAAAAAAUAUUUAUUAAUUUUUUAAAUAAUCAAUACGUCUUAUAUUUUAAAAUAAAAUAAUCGCAAUUUAUAUUUAGUAGGGCAAAAAAAGUGCUACCGUUGCCAAAGGAUAAGAUUGAAGCUAAUUAGGCAAAACAUUUACACGCUUUGGUCAAAAUCCUUAAGUACGCGGCUAGCCAAUAUGGAAGCACCCAAACUAUUAACCAGUCUUUCACGUGUGGUCGCGCAAGUCCGUGCGUGUGCGCGCAUGCGCAUGCUUGUGUGUGCGUGUGUCCAUGAUUAUAUUUAGCUUGGUUUGGUAGGAUGAAUAUUGCUACUUUAAAAAAAUAAAAAUAAAAAUAAAAAUUGAUUCAUAUAAUAAAAAAAUUGAGUCAUUUAAUUGAAUAAGAACAUAAAAAUCACACUCUCUCUUCCUUCGUGAUUUACAAGAUAUUUAUGAAAGAAACAAAAAUAAGAAUUUGGAGGAGAAAGCAAGUUGUAGAAAAAGACAGAGAUGCAAGAAAGAAAACUUGUGAAGCACGUGUGCCACCCAAAGGAAUAUCUUAUGGAAAUUGAAAAGGAUUGUACAUUGGCUAACGAAUAAUUAGGCAAUUAGCCUACUAUGAUGGCUUAAUUAAAUUAUUAAUUGACUCGGUAAACUGAUCAAUUAACAAGUAAUUAUAAAAUAGUGGAUCUCCAUUUUAUACUUUUUCUUCUCAUAUACAAUUUUAAAUUUCUACUCAUCAUUUUAAAUUUGGUAAACGGCAGUGGAGUCAAUAUAUAAUUAAUUUUGAAAUGAUAUUCAUAUAAUAAUCAAAUAAGUUCAAAUUAAGUAAAAAUCUAAUUAAUUAAUUAGUAACUUCAAACAUAUACUACUAACCAUUUUGUUUUAGAUUAGUUCAUGAGAAAUUUGUAUAUCUAUAUUGAACUUGAAAUAAAAAUAAAGUUCACUCUUUAUUUAGCAUAGUAUUUUACCCUUUUUGUAAAUUUUUAUUUUUUUUUUCCUUAUUUUUUAUAUUUUAAUUCAACCACUUAAGGUAUCUUUAAAGUUUUAAAAUUAAUAUUUUUUUAUAAUAAUUUAUAUUGAUAUCUAUAUUUUUAAAUCCAUAUAUCUAUGUGUAUUUAUAUCCACACAUAUUUUAUAUAUCAAUUCAUAUCUAAAUCUAUAUAUCUAUAUUAAAGCUGAAUAAAAAAAAAGUUAUAAAUUCGAUUAUCCUUUUUCUUAUAUUCUUUUCCUUUAAAAUUUUUUAAAUUAUUUCUUUAUUUUUCUAUAUUUGAUUGAGCUAGUUAACAAUAUUUUUAAAAUCUUUCUAUCUAUUCAAGCCAAGAUAAAGUAAAAGUUCAAAAUUUGAUUUUCGCUUCAUUUAGUAUUUUGCUUUUUUCUUUUCAAGAAAGUUUUUGACUUUUUAUUUUUAUGUAUUUAUUUUACCGUCUAGGAUAGUUUUUUAAAGUUUAAAAAUUGUGCGUGUGUAUGUGAGAGAGAUAUAUAUUAGGAUGCUUUGUUAAUAUUAUCAUGGUUUUAAUAAAUGAUAUGUCAUUUGUGUCACGUGUAUAGUAAGUACUCUCUUAAAAAAAAAAAAGUUAUUUAUAAUAAUUACGAAUGAAAAUCUAAUAUAUUAAUUAUAUAUCAUUAAAAAAAUACUGAAAGUUCAUAGCUAGUUCUAUUUGUUGGUUUUUAAUAUUUAAAAUUUCAAUUAUUAUAUUAUUUUGAGAUAUUUAUUUAUUUAUUUUUUUGAGUAUUGGGGGAGAGGGAUUUGAAUCCAAAUCUAUUGCUGGGUCGUAUAUGCACUUAUCACUAGAUUAGGAUAAUAAUUAUUUAAGUUUGAAAGUUACUAUUUAUUUAUAAUAAUAUUAGAAAAAUAAUCAUAUUAAUUAAGUCAAAAUUAAAAAAUGUCAAAACUGCCCUCCCUUUAAUUUUACAAUUUUACUUGCAUUCUACUCUAUAGAGUAAAGUAUUCAGUUUCUUGAUUUUGAGCUUAAAUGCACUAAUUACGCUGUAUUUAAUUAGCUCUGAAACUGAAAGUUUUGUUUGAAAUUCUUGUCCUUGAUUUUUGCCUCAGCUGAAACAGUAUAUCUGCUUGGAUUGAAAAUACAAAAGCCUUAUACCCAAUCAUAUUGGGCUUAGCCCAUACAUAUCUAUCCAACUCCAACAUUAACCCUUUCGAGAUCAUUAACAUGAUUGGAUUUGGCUCAAUAUCAUUAUUAUCGGUAGAGAUGUCAUUUUCAAAACAAAAGGGAAAAAGAUACUCGAGCUUCUCAAGUUAGUUUUAGGAUUAUACAUUUGUAAGUUCAAAACUAAUCUAAACUUAGUUAAUCAAAUUGAGGUUUUAAUUUAUUUUUUUGUCUUUCCAAAUUAAUCCUACCAUGCUCUAGUCCAGGAGCACAAGGGGGAAUAAUAAAUUCAAGCUUCCUCCUUUCAAUUUUAAAAGAUAUUCCAUAUUAUCAUAAUCUUUUUUUCGUUAAUUAUGAUUUUCAAACUAUUUUUGAUUUGAGAGAGAAGAGAAAGAACCCACUAUCCAAAAGAAAAACUAUAUAUUAGAGAUUAAAUUAGGAAAGUAAGAACUAUAUCGUAUCAGUUUAAAUGGGUAGAGUAAGGCCAUAAAUGAUUUAUAUAAUUAUCAAUGGCUUAAAAGGAAUGAUAAAAAUAGUUGUACUACUAAUAUAAGAAAAUUUUAUGAUUUUAUCAUUAUAUUUUGUCAUAAUAUAUAAAUUGCUUGCAUUUUUCAGAAAUGCAUACUUUUGUUUUUAUCUUCUCUAUUUCUGUCGAUUUUUUAUACUUUUUUUCGUCAAUAAAUACUACUAUGUUUUUCAUAUAUUUUGUUAAAAUUUACAAUUUAUCCAUUUAUGUAUCAAUUAUUGUCUACAUAUUUCGCUAAAAUUAAGUAGCAAAAUUAAGUAAUUAUCCCUAUAUUUAAUAGAAGGUAGAAAAAAUUAACAUAAGAUACAUCAGUGUGUAACGGAUGAGGUAAAAAAUAUGGAUAAAAUUAUAUAUCUCUAAAUAAAAAAUAAAAUUAUUCGAAUCCAAUCGAUUACAGAUGUUUUUAUCAAUUUAAUAAGCAAGAGGAAAACUACCCCUACCCUUAUUACAUAAUGCAAAUAUUAAACAUUGCUUACCAAUAAUAAUACAUAUUCUUUGUAUUGGAUGCAGAUAAAAGCUUUACCUCAACAAAGAAAAUCUUUAACACCAAAAUGGUAGGGCUCUGACCAAAUGCCAGAAUCAAGAUAAACAAUCAUGCCAUCAAAUCAACUUGCUUUUCUUUCUUUUCUUUUUUUCCAUAAUUACCUUGCCCUUCCUUUUCUCUAUCAAACUGUAAUUUUUAGAUGACAAACAACCAGAGAUAACUACUCUUUUUUGUUUCUCUCUUUUAAUCUUUUGUUAGUUUUUAACUGAAACAAUUAAAGAAUAAAGCCAAACAUAUGAAAAAGCAAACGCAAGAACAGGCUGUUAAGAAAAGAAAGAAAGGAAAGAACAAAAGAGAGGCUCCCAAUAGAAUAAUCCAAAAUAUAUAAAAUGACAGUGAAUAGAAAACUACAAAAAUACAGAGUUUUUCCCCCCACACAGCUCUCCCUCCCUGUCCCUCAAAGAAUACUGAAUACAAAGCAAAUGUGGUUAAUCCCCAGGCAGAAAAAACCAAACCACUGGCCAGUAAGAUAUAGCAAUAAUUUAACAAAACAAUGGUAAUCAAAUAAAAAUAUCAAAUGGUGAGUCCGUAAAUAAAGAAGAAGAGCAUGUGGGGGACAAAAGAUUAAAAUAAUUUAACACCAAUAGCAAUAAUGGACAUUAUAAAACAUAUCUCUCUGUUUUGAUCUCUAGAAGAUCAAAGUCAUUGCUGCCCAUCCCAAUGCCAAGCCUCCGAGCAUCUUCUGUACUGACCUUAUCGAUUCUGAUCCGCUCUGCAAUUUGGAUCAAAAUUCAUUUUCAUAAUCCAGAUGUUAAGAAGAAUAAAUAAACUUGCAUAAAUUUCUACUUUAAUAAUUAUUCACGAGAAUGUUGUUGCCUCUCCCCGUUGGGAAGUUAAUGAUCUGAAAUUCUGAUGUUGAAAUUUCAAUGUUCGGUUUAGAGAAACAAUAAAUACACAUUCAUUAGAAAACCAUUAGCUUGAGAAUUAUUCGAUUCAAGAUAGAUCCUCCUUACGGGAAGUGAAACCGCUUUGUGCCAUAGAUUUUUAUUACUAUUGCAUUAAAACCUUUCAUCAACAGUUAUAAUUUUAUUAAUUAAAAGGACUUGCCCACUGUACUAAUAAAAUUAAUCACCUCCACAUUAAUGUUCUGCAGAUCCACGGAUGACACAGUGCAAUUCACUGUCAUUUGUACUACAGUGAUGGGGCGUGAAUCUUACGCGCCACAGUGUCGCGUUCAUCUCACUAGAGACAAGCGCUUACCACCAGAAGCAGUACUUGAGAAGCGCCAAGCUUUGCUUCCACUAAGCAGUUAUAAGGCAGCACCGACAUUUAGCAUUUCAAUAAUGGAUUAACUUGAGGGGCAAUAAUCCGGUCAUUUUAGGAAAUUUAAGCAUUCUUCACUAAUUUAGGCUCGGUGACCACUAACGAUAUCUAGAUUUUUUUCUAGUGCUAAAGAGGGAAAACACAGACCAUGGAUCUUUGCAUUAAACUUCAGAUCUGGAGGUGCAUUGCACUCCAGCGCAUGUCAGAUGGUAAGCCAAUCGGAAAAACAACUAAAACGAGCACUGGAAAGUAGAAAGUACCUCAUCGGCCACAGAAGCGGGACCAGGAGAGCUGGCGUCAAGGCUCGGUCCAGGUGCCUCCGUCGGUGGAGCUGGUGGACUCGACAACUCCGGACCAGGAGCAGGUGAAGCAGCGUGCUUCUUCGACUUUUUCUUGGUUGGAGUCGGUGCAGGAACCUCGGCGGUUGGCGCAGCCACUGGAGCUGAAGGAGCAGUUUCCGGAGGAGAGCUUGUUGGUGGAGUAACUGGUGCUGGUGAUGGAGGAGAUUGGGCCGGAGAUUUUGCUGGAGUUUUUGCUGGAGGAGAGCUCACUGGAACUGCAACAGGUGGUGAACUAAUAGGAGCGGCGGCAAGUGGUGGUGUAGCUACCGGAGCCGCAGCCGGAGCUGGCACCUUCUGUUUGGUCGGAGAAGCUGCUGGUGUCUUCGCUGGUGGUGAAGACACUGGAACUGCAACAGGAGCAGGCGAUUUAGAUUUUGCUGGUGCUUUAGCAGGUGCAGUUACAGGCGCUGCAGGAGCCAACGGAGUAGCAGUCGGUGCUGCACCUGGAGCUUGGCCGCCGACGCCGGCGACAAUGAUGCACAUUAAUGCAACAGAAAAAACGCUUUUGCGAUCCAUCUUGGCAGAGGAGAGA
rnacentral:lncRNA from 1 species